CGGAGGAAAAGAAACUAACAAGGAUUCCCCUAGUAGCGGCGAGCGAAGCGGGAAGAGCUCAAAUUUAUAAUCUGGCACUUUCAGUGUCCGAGUUGUAAUCUCUAGAAGUGUUUUCCGCGUUGGACCGCACACAAGUCUGUUGGAAUACAGCGGCACAGUGGUGACACCCCCGUACACGGUGCGGACGCCCAGCGCUUUGUGAUACACUUUCGAAGAGUCGAGUUGUUUGGGAAUGCAGCUCAAAUUGGGUGGUAAAUUCCAUCUAAAGCUAAAUAUUGGCGAGAGACCGAUAGCGAACAAGUACCGUGAGGGAAAGAUGAAAAGCACUUUGGAAAGAGAGUUAACAGUACGUGAAAUUGUUGGAAGGGAAACGCUUGAAGUCAGACUUGCUUGCCGGAGCUUGCUUCGGUUUGCAGGCCAGCAUCAGUUUUCCGGGGUGGAUAAUGGCGGUUAGAAGGUAGCAGCUUCAGCUGUGUUAUAGCUUUCCGCUGGAUACAUCCUGGGGGACUGAGGAACGCAGCGUGCUUUUAGCGGGGGUUUCGACCUCUUCACGCUUAGGAUGCUGGUGUAAUGGCUUUAAACGACCCGUCUUGAAACACGGACCAAGGAGUCUAACAUGCUUGCGAGUAUUUGGGUGUCAAACCCGGAUGCGUAAUGAAAGUGAAUGUAGGUGGGAACCGCAAGGUGCACCAUCGACCGAUCUGGAUUUUCUAAGAUGGAUUUGAGUAAGAGCACGUAUGUUGGGACCCGAAAGAUGGUGAACUAUGCCUGAAUAGGGCGAAGCCAGAGGAAACUCUGGUGGAGGCUCGUAGCGGUUUCUGACGUGCAAAUCGAUCGUC
rnacentral:rRNA from 1 species